rnacentral:rRNA from 1 species
GAUGAACGCUAGCGGCAGGCUUAACACAUGCAAGUCGAGGGGUAGAAGUCUUCGGACUUUGAGACCGGCGCACGGGUGCGUAACGCGUAUGCAAUCUGCCUUGUACAAAGGGAUAGCCCAGAGAAAUUUGGAUUAAUACCUUAUAGUAUAUCGAUGUGGCAUCACAAUGGUAUUAAAGAUUUAUCGGUACAAGACGAGCA